AAUGCCGGAUAACAUUUGGAACCGCAUGGUUCUAAAGUAAAAGAUGGUUUUGCUAUCACUUAUAGAUGGACCCGCGCCGUAUUAGCUAGUUGGUAAGGUAACGGCUUACCAAGGCAACGAUACGUAGCCGACCUGAGAGGGUGAUCGGCCACACUGGAACUGAGACACGGUCCAGACUCCUACGGGAGGCAGCAGUAGGGAAUCUUCCGCAAUGGACGAAAGUCUGACGGAGCAACGCCGCNUGAGUGAUGAAGGUUUUCGGAUCGUAAAACUCUGUUAUUAGGGAAGAACAAAUGUGUAAGUAACUGUGCACAUCUUGACGGUACCUAAUCAGAAAGCCACGGCUANCUACGUGCCAGCAGCCGCGGUAAUACGUAGGUGGCAAGCGUUAUCCGNNAUUAUUGGGCGUAAANCGNGCGUAGGCGGUUUCUUAAGUCUGAUGUGAAAGCCCNCGGCUCANCCGUGGAGGGUCAUUG
rnacentral:rRNA from 1 species